GAUGAAGAACGCAGCGAAAUGCGAUAAGUAAUGUGAAUUGCAGAAUUCAGUGAAUCAUCGAAUCUUUGAACGCACCUUGCGCCCCCUGGAAUUCCGGGGGGCAUGCCUGUUCGAGCGUCUCAGGGACGAACCCUCGCGCGGGUGUACGCGCGGUCGUGGCUGCGGUGGCGUGCCCGAGGCGGCGGCCACCGCGCUGGAAUCCAUGGGCGGACGCCUGCCGCGUGGCCGAGCGUGAUAUGACGCAUUGGCGCUCGCACGCGGCGAGGCUGCCAGCCCUGGCCCGUCUGUCGGGCGGGGGAGAGCAAGACACGUGAACUCCUCGAAUCAGGUAGGGAUACCCGCUGAACUUAAGCAUAUCAAUAAGCGGAGGA
rnacentral:misc_RNA from 1 species